GAGCAUGGAAAUACUAGUGUACUCACAUGGAGAGUUAAACAAUCUUGCAUUCUCUCUACAGCUCAGGUAGGCCUCAAAAUUGCAAUCCUUCUUUACCCUGCUACUGGACCUGACUAAAACCAUUUCUUUGAAUAGCUCCCCCCAUCCCCCACCUCUCUCUGUGUGUCUGACUUGGACCACCAAAGUUUUGACUUAGGGAAGGCAUGUUGUGUUUUCCUGCCAGAAAUGCAAAAUUAUGUCAAAACUAAAUCAAAAGUCAAAAAAAUCUUUAGCGUAUUUGCAUUUGCCUAAUAAAUGAUCUUCCUGGUGUCUGUGAAUAACUAUAUGAUGAAAUAGUUCUUUAAAAGUAGCAGUUGUCAAGUUAUCUUCAGUGUUAUAGUCAAUCUAUUUUGUAAUUAUUGGCCUUGUAUGAAUUCCCAACAUUUGGAACUCAUAAAGAUGUUAAAAAAAAAAGGAAGAAAGAAAGAAAGAAAG
rnacentral:lncRNA from 1 species